rnacentral:rRNA from 1 species
AUGAACGCUGGCGGCGUGCCUAAUACAUGCAAGUCGAGCGAACGGACGAGAAGCUUGCUUCUCUGAUGUUAGCGGCGGACGGGUGAGUAACACGUGGAUAACCUACCUAUAAGGCUGGGAUAACUUCGGGAAACCGGAGCUAAUACCGGAUGAUAUUUUGAACCGCAUGGUUCAAAAGUGAAAGACGGUCUUGCUGUCACUUAUAGAUGGAUCCGCGCUGCAUUAGCUAGUUGGUAAGGUAACGGCUUACCAAGGCAACGAUGCAUAGCCGACCUGAGAGGGUGAUCGGCCACACUGGAACUGAGACACGGUCCAGACUCCUACGGGAGGCAGCAGUAGGGAAUCUUCCGCAAUGGGCGAAAGCCUGACGGAGCAACGCCGCGUGAGUGAUGAAGGUCUUCGGAUCGUAAAACUCUGUUAUUAGGGAAGAACAUAUGUGUAAGUAACUGUGCACAUCUUGACGGUACCUAAUCAGAAAGCCACGGCUAACUACGUG